UACAAAUGGUUCGAGAAUCAUCUUGAACGAUCCUCAAGAGGAUUUCAAAUGCUAUAAAUAAGCGGGGGCAUACGCACGUAAGACAAACCAGUCGUGAAUCGUUUCAAAGAACAGUUUCAAUAAGCCAACGUCGCAAUAUCGAAAAUGAAGCUCCUGUGCUGGAACAACUCUCUCUAUGGAUUAAUGGUAAUAAUUUUAAUGCUCUUUGGCACUGUGCUUCCAUCCGUCGAUUGUGGAACUGGUCCUAAAGAUCCUUUGCGUGACGGUAAUCAGAUAAAAGGACCUUGCCCCGGUGGUCAGUUCAGGGACGCUCAGGGGCAUUGCCGUAAACUCGUGGAUUGAGAUCGAUCGAGAAUGUGUCGCGACAAUGAUGUUGUUUCACUGGAAUUUUUAAAUAGCCUGAUAACAAAUGUACAACUGAUUCGACAAUUGUGAAACUAUAAGAGUUUAUCACAAGCCUAUUAAGAAUAAAGUGUCGACAAGAA